UACGGGGGGAGCAAGCGUUGUUCGGAUUUACUGGGCGUAAAGGGCGCGUAGGCGGUCAGCACAAGUCAGUUGUGAAAUCUCCGGGCUUAACUCGGAAAGGUCAACUGAUACUGCUUUGCUAGAGUGCAGAAGGGGCAAUCGGAAUUCUUGGUGUAGCGGUGAAAUGCGUAGAUAUCAAGAGGAACACCUGAGGUGAAGACGGGUUGCUGGGCUGACACUGACGCUGAGGCGCGAAAGCGUGGGGAGCAAACAGG
rnacentral:rRNA from 1 species